UACACUCCUGCGGGAGGCAGCAGUGGGGAAUAUUGGACAAUGGGCGCAAGCCUGAUCCAGCCAUGCCGCGUGAGUGAUGAAGGCCCUAGGGUUGUAAAGCUCUUUUGUGCGGGAAGAUAAUGACGGUACCGCAAGAAUAAGCCCCGGCUAACUUCGUGCCAGCAGCCGCGGUAAUACGAAGGGGGCUAGCGUUGCUCGGAAUCACUGGGCGUAAAGGGUGCGUAGGCGGGUCUUUAAGUCAGGGGUGAAAUCCUGGAGCUCAACUCCAGAACUGCCUUUGAUACUGAAGAUCUUGAGUUCGGGAGAGGUGAGUGGAACUGCGAGGGUAGAGGUGAAAUUCGUAGAUAUUCGCAAGAACACCAGUGGCGAAGGCGGCUCACUGGCCCGAUACUGACGCUGAGGCACGAAAGCGUGGGGAGCAAACAGGAUUAGAUACCCCGGUAGUCCCAU
rnacentral:rRNA from 1 species